GCGAGAGUGGCGGAAUUUGGCAGACGCACUGGGUUUAGGGUCCAGCGGUUGAACCGUGGGGGUUCGAGUCCCCCCUCUCGCA
rnacentral:tRNA from 1 species